AAAUCAACGCUGGCGGCGUAGCCUCAGACAAUGCAAGUCGUAACGCGAAAGGUUCCUUCGGGAACCGAGUAGAGUGGCGCACGGGUGAGUAACACGUAGGUAAUUUGCCUUUGGGUGGGGAAUAACAGCCGGAAACGGCUGCUAAUACCGCAUAAUGCAGCGGCUCGACAUCGAGACAGUUGUUAAAGCGGGGGAUCGCAAGACCUCGCGCCUAAAGAGUAAGCCUGCGGCAGAUUAGCUAGUUGGUAGGGUAAUGGCCUACCAAGGCGACGAUCUGUAACCGGCCUGAGAGGGCGGU
rnacentral:rRNA from 1 species